rnacentral:misc_RNA from 1 species
GAAAUGCGAUAAGUAAUGUGAAUUGCAGAAUUCAGUGAAUCAUCGAAUCUUUGAACGCAUAUUGCACCCGCCAGUAUUCUGGCGGGCAUGCCUGUUCGAGCGUCAUUACAACCCUCAGGCCCCCGGGCCUGGCGUUGGGGAUCGGCGGAAGCCCCCUGCGGGCACAACGCCGUCCCCCAAAUACAGUGGCGGUCCCGCCGCAGCUUCCAUUGCGUAGUAGCUAACACCUCGCAACUGGAGAGCGGCGCGGCCACGCCGUAAAACACCCAACUUCUGAAUGUUGACCUCGAAUCAGGUAGGAAUACCCGCUGAACUUAAGC